CAGCAGCCACGGGAAUACGAAGGGUGCAAGCGUUACUCGGAAUUACUGGGCGUAAAGCGUGCGUAGGUGGUGGUUUAAGUCCGUUGUGAAAGCCCUGGGCUCAACCUGGGAAUUGCAGUGGAUACUGGGUCACUAGAGUGUGGUAGAGGAUAGUGGAAUUUCCGGUGUAGCAGUGAAAUGCGUAGAGAUCGGAAGGAACAUCUGUGGCGAAGGCGACUAUCUGGGCCAACACUGACACUGAGGCACGAAAGCGUGGGGAGCAAACAGGAUUAGAUACCCCGUAGUCCCUGUCUCUUAUACC
rnacentral:rRNA from 1 species